rnacentral:rRNA from 1 species
AUUGAACGCUGGCGGAAUGCUUUACACAUGCAAGUCGAACGGCAGCACGGACUUCGGUCUGGUGGCGAGUGGCGAACGGGUGAGUAAUAUAUCGGAACGUGCCCAGUCGUGGGGGAUAACGUAGUGAAAAUUACGCUAAUACCGCAUACGAUCUAAGGAUGAAAGCGGGGGAUCGCAAGACCUCGCGCGAUUGGAGCGGCCGAUAUCAGAUUAGGUAGUUGGUAGGGUAAAGGCCUACCAAGCCAACGAUCUGUAGCUGGUCUGAGAGGACGACCAGCCACACUGGAACUGAGAACCGGUCCAGACUCCUACGGGAGGCAGCAGUGGGGAAUUUUGGAAAAUGGGCGCAAGCCUGAUCCAGCCAUUCCGCGUGCAGGAUGAAGGCCCUCGGGUUGUAAACUGCUUUUGUACAGAACGAAAAGGUUUCUACUAAUACUAGGAGCUCAUGACGGUACUGUAAGAAUAAGCACCGGCUAACUACGUGCCAGCCGCCGCCGUAG